GUACCCCAAACUGAGGGAUAAGCACCAGAAAUGGUGUCUAAUACCGCAUGUGCUCUUCGGAGUAAAGCUACGGCGGUUUGGGAACGGCCUGCGCAUGAUUAGCUUGUUGGUGAGGUAAUAGCUCACCAAGGCGACGAUCAUUAGCUGGUCUGAGAGGAUGAUCAGCCAGACUGGGACUGAGAACGGCCCAGACUCCUACGGGAGGCAGCAGGUAGGGAAUUUCCACAAGUGGGGGCAACCCUGAUGGGAGCAACGCCGCGUGCAGGAUGAAGGCCCUAGGGUCGUAAACUGCUUUUAUCUGUGACGAAUAUGACGGUAGCAGAUGAAUAAGGAUCGGCUAACUCCGUG
rnacentral:rRNA from 1 species